UUUACCUACGGGAGGCAGCAGUGGGGGAUCUUGCACAAUGGGGGGAACCCUGAUGCAGCGACGCCGCGUGGGUGAAGAAGCGCCUCGGCGCGUAAAGCCCUGUCAGCAGGGAAGAAAAUGACGGUACCUGAAGAAGAAGCCCCGGCUAACUACGUGCCAGCAGCCGCGGAAAUACGUAGGGGGCAAGCGUUAUCCGGAUUUACUGGGUGUAAAGGGGGCGAAGACGGCGAUGCAGGCCAGGAGUGAAAGCCCGGGGCCCAACCCCGGGACUGCGCUUGGAACUGCGGGGCUGGGG
rnacentral:rRNA from 1 species